UACAGAGGUCUCGAGCGUUGUUCGGAUUCAUUGGGCGUAAAGGGUGCGUAGGUGGCGCUGUAAGUCGGGUGUGAAAUCCUGAGGCUUAACCUCGGAACUGCAUUCGAUACUGCGGCGCUUGAGGACUGGGGAGGAGACUGGAAUUCAUGGUGUAGCAGUGAAAUGCGUAGAGAUCAUGAGGAAGACCAGUGGCGAAGGCGGGUCUCUGGACAGUUCCUGACACUGAGGCACGAAGGCCAGGGGAGCAAACGGG
rnacentral:rRNA from 1 species